rnacentral:rRNA from 1 species
CCUACGGGUGGCAGCAGUGAGGAAUAUUGGUCAAUGGACGCAAGUCUGAACCAGCCAUGCCGCGUGCAGGAAGACGGCUCUAUGAGUUGUAAACUGCUUUUGUACGAGGGUAAACGCAGAUACGCGUAUCUGUCUGAAAGUAUCGUACGAAUACGGAUCGGCUAAAUCCGUGCCAGCAGCCGCGGUAAUACGGAGGAUGCAAGCUUUAGCCGGAUUUAUGGGGUUUAAAGGGAGCGUAGGCGGUCGGAUAAGUUAGAGGUGAAAUCCCGAGGCUCAACUUCUGAAUUGCCUCUGAUACUGGUCGGCUAGAGAGUAGUUGAGGUAGGCGGAAUGUAUGGUGUAGCGGUGAAAUGCUGAGAGAUCAUACAGAACACCGAUUGCGAAGGCAGCUUACCAGGCUACUUCUGACGUUGAGGCACGAAAGCGUGGGGAGCAAACAGGAUUAGAUACCCUAGUAGUC